rnacentral:rRNA from 1 species
AUGUCGGUGUCAUCGCGCUUCGAGCUCCGGGACUCGUCGCUGUGUUGUUGCUGCAGCGGCGAUGUGGGGACAUUCGCCGACGCGGGGAACCUCGAGCACUGCGCCAAGUACCUCAAUCAGACGCUCGUUACCUUCGGUUUCCCGGCCUCGCUCGACCUAUUUGCCACAGAUCCGGUAUCUAUUGCAAGAACAUGCAACUGCAUGUAUGCACUGCUGCAGCAGCGCCAGAGAGACAUCGAAUUCCGGGAAUCGACCAAUGAUCUACGGCAACGUAUGCAGUCUGAUAUUUCAAGACUGGAAGCCAAGAUCGAAAGGAUGGAUGCCCAAUCGGCAGCAAAAGAUCGAGAGUUGGCCACUUUGACCCGAACGGAGGCCAAAAACACCGCAGCUCUGAAAGCUCAUAUUGAGAAGCUGCAGCAGGAACGUGACGAAUUUCAAAAAAUGGUUAUUGGAAAUCAGCAAGUACGCACCCAACAAAUUCAUGAAACGAAGAAGAAAGAAAAGGAAUACAUCAAAUUGCAGGAGAAGCUAAACCAAGUAUUGAUGGAGAAGAAAAAGGAAUCAUCACGUUCAGGAAUGGAAAUAAUGAACUUGUUGCAGAAAGAGGGACGACAGCGUGGAACAUGGACUGGAAAAAAGAAUGACAAUGACUACUACAAAAUGAUUGUUGAUGCAUAUGAAGUGAAGAAACAAGAACUAGUCCAGGAGAAUGCUGAUUUGCGGGCACUGUUACGUUCGAUGCAGAUGGAUAUGCGUGAGUUCCUUAAUGCUCCAACUGGAUCAUCACAGCCUGCUGUUGCUGGUAAUGGAAGACAGGAGGCAGGGUCUCCCCAGUCCCCACUUGGGGGCAAGACGGAUGUCUUUGACUUGCCCUUUCACAUGGCCAGAGACCAGAUAGAGGAGAGUUUGCGCACUAAAAUGGCUUCAGUGAAGGCACGAAUGACGCAACUUCAAGAUGCUCAAAAAGGUGCUGAAGUGACCUCGGAAGUUACCGAGCGUGAACUUGAGCUUGAAGCUCAGUUAGUUGAAGCCAGAAGCAUCAUCCAAGAGCAGGCGUCCAUCAUGUCUAAGCACUUCUCCAAGUCUGAUAAACCAAGGAGGUUAAGUGGCCUGGAUGCCGAGCGUGAGGCGAUUCUUUCUGCUUCUACAGAUGUGUAAAGAUAUAUUCAUGGUGAAUUUCUGUUCUGGAAGGCUGCAAGGCACAUCAUUUUGGUCUGUGAUGGAGGUCUCUUCCUGCCAUGGUAGCACUAGUGCCGCGGCAGCCUAUGUAGCAUGAUGUGCAGGAGCAUCUCUCCUGCCGUUGCUAACUGAUAAUCCCGUAGGUAUGGCUGCCGCUACUGGUAUUCCUCUGAUGGAGCGGAGUCUUAUGCAGCCUGCUGUCUUCGGAAUGUAAUUGUGCCUCGUUUUAGUUCAAUGAUGUGGUUCAUCUUGUGGCAACUGUUAUAGCUCGUUUGGCACCUCGGUUUUCAUUUCAUUUGAAAUGAAACGAAAACACAUUCAUCAUAGGAUAUUUUGUUUGGUAGGAAGUUUUCUAGUUUGGCAGCCAGAUGGAUUUGUGAAAUGAAAUGAAUCUCAUAUGUUCCAUCAGGCUGCGAGUUGGGGAGUUGUGGCUGCCGGUGGAAAACGAGUCCGACUUUGGUUGUGGCGGGCGUUGGCGGUGUCUACGCGCCGUUACAUCGCUUUUGCGGUCAUUUUCUCCUCGCUUAGACUGUUUCGAGGGGAAACCGUUGAUCUGGGUAUCUUAGAUCGGACCACGACCUUGAUCUGGGUAUCCUAGAUCGGACAACGAC